CGCGUGAGUGAUGAAGGCUUUCGGGUCGUAAAACUCUGUUGUUAGGGAAGAACAAGUGCUAGUUGAAUAAGCUGGCACCUUGACGGUACCUAACCAGAAAGCCACGGCUAACUACGUGCCAGCAGCCGCGGUAAUACGUAGGUGGCAAGCGUUAUCCGGAAUUAUUGGGCGUAAAGCGCGCGCAGGUGGUUUCUUAAGUCUGAUGUGAAAGCCCACGGCUCAACCGUGGAGGGUCAUUGGAAACUGGGAGACUUGAGUGCAGAAAAGGAAAGUGGAAUUCCAUGUGUAGCGGUGAAAUGCGUAGAGAUAUGGAGGAACACCAGUGGCGAAGGCGACUUUCUGGUCUGUAACUGACACUGAGGCGCGAAAGCGUGGGGAGCAAACAGGAUUAGAUACCCUGGUAGUCCACGCCGUAAACGAUGAGUGCUAAGUGUUAGAGGGUUUCCGCCCUUUAGUGCUGAAGUUAACGCAUUAAGCACUCCGCCUGGGGAGUACGG
rnacentral:rRNA from 1 species